AGUGAACGCUGGCGGUAGGCCUAACACAUGCAAGUCGAACGGCAGCACAGUAAGAGCUUGCUCUUACGGGUGGCGAGUGGCGGACGGGUGAGGAAUACAUCGGAAUCUACUUUUUCGUGGGGGAUAACGUAGGGAAACUUACGCUAAUACCGCAUACGACCUACGGGUGAAAGCAGGGGAUCUUCGGACCUUGCGCGAUUGAAUGAGCCGAUGUCGGAUUAGCUAGUUGGCGGGGUAAAGGCCCACCAAGGCGACGAUCCGUAGCUGGUCUGAGAGGAUGAUCAGCCACACUGGAACUGAGACACGGUCCAGACUCCUACGGGAGGCAGCAGUAGGGAAUAUUGGACAAUGGGCGCAAGCCUGAUCCAGCCAUACCGCGUGAGUGAAGAAGGUCUUCGGGUUGUAAAGCCCUUUUGUUGGGGAAGAAAAGCAGCAGGUUAAUACCCCGCUGUUCUGACGGUACCCAAAGAAUAAGCACCGGCUAACUUCGUG
rnacentral:rRNA from 1 species